AUGGGAAUGGUCACAUGCCUACAAACCUUGCUGAACAGGGGACAUUGAAGGGCACUCUUGUGUGCUACAUCGCCAGGGUGCAAUCCUUUGGUGCUCACCACAUCCUCAAAUGGUCACUGAUGAGAUGCACGGAUAAUGGGUUACAAAGACAGACAUUAAUAAGGCCAGUUGAUCCUUUACUUCUAUUGCCAUGGCAGCAACAGCACUGGAGGAGAGAGAACAAAAAUUAAUUCACCUGCACUACCCCCGGAGGUACUUGAAACCACAGGACAUCAUUUUCUUCAGGGAUUUUAGUGCAUCUUCUAAUCUACUGGUUAACAGAUAAAGCUAAAUACAUAUUGAAAAGGUUCCUAAAUUAUAAAGACGACAACCCCUUUGUGAUCUUGACAAUAGAGAAUUCAACCAGUGGGGAAGCCAUCCUGGAUCUUCUACUUACCCAUAAGGAGGCAUUGAUAAAGAACACAGUAAUAUUUGCACUUCUGUAGUGCUUUCCAUCGGAGCCUCUCCAAUCUCUUGGCAAGCAUUAAUGCAUUCAGCCUUACAGCACCCAUGUGAGAAAGGUAAUAGGGUACCAGUGGCCAUGAGCUUUUUGAAUUUAGCAUAGUAAAGAAUAAGUUCACAGGAUGCAGCAGUGCAAGGAUAAUAGAUUUCAGGAAGGCAUAGUUUGGGGAAUUAAGAAAUCUAGUGAGUGAGUGAGACGAGAUGGUGGGAAUGUUAAAUUUACUAGUGUGGAAGAAAGAUGGAGAAUCCUGGAAGACAUCAGAAUUAAGGCAUAUCAGACCAUAAAUCCUCAGAAAAAGAAGAAGAUGGGAUAUUGAAUGGGUUCAGCAG